UACGUAGGGUGCGAGCGUUGUCCGGAAUUAUUGGGCGUAAAGAGCUUGUAGGCGGUCUGUCGCGUCUGCUGUGAAAAUCCGGGGCUCAACCCCGGACUUGCAGUGGGUACGGGCAGACUAGAGUGUGGUAGGGGAGACUGGAAUUCCUGGUGUAGCGGUGAAAUGCGCAGAUAUCAAGAGGAACACCUGAGGUGAAGACGGGUUGCUGGGCUGACACUGACGCUGAGGCGCGAAAGCCAGGGGAGCAAACGGG
rnacentral:rRNA from 1 species